rnacentral:pre_miRNA from 1 species
AUAAUACUCCCUCCGUCCGGAAUUACUUGUCAUCAAAAUGGAUGUGUCUAGAACUAAAAUACAUCUAGAUACAUCCAUUUCAAUGACAAGUAUUUUCAGACGGAGGGAGUAGUAG